rnacentral:rRNA from 1 species
GACGAGCGCUGGCGGCGUGCCUAAUACAUGCAAGUAGAACGCACAGUUUAUACCGUAGCUUGCUACACCAUAGACUGUGAGUUGCGAACGGGUGAGUAACGCGUAGGUAACCUGCCUGGUAGCGGGGGAUAACUAUUGGAAACGAUAGCUAAUACCGCAUAAUAUUAAUUAUUGCAUGAUAAUUAAUUGAAAGGUGCAAUUGCACCACUACCAGAUGGACCUGCGUUGUAUUAGCUAGUAGGUGAGGUAAAGGCUCACCUAGGCGACGAUACAUAGCCGAACUGAGAGGGUGAUCGGCCAAACUGGGACUGAGACAAGGCCCAGAGUGAUACGGGAGGCAGCAGUAGGGAAUCGUCGGCAAUGGACGAAAGUCUGACCGAGAAACGCCGAGUGAGUGAAGAAGGUUUUCGGAUCGUAAAGCUCUGUUGUAAGAGAAGAACGGGUGUGAGAGUGGAAAGUUCACACUGUGACGGUAACUUACAAGAAAGGGACGGCUAACUACGUG